UACGGAGGAGGCAAGCGUUAUCCGGAAUUAUUGGGCGUAAAGCGUCCGUAGAUGGUCGUUUCAAGUCUGCUGUCAAAGACCGGGGCUUAACCCCAGAAAGGCAGUGGAAACUGAACAGCUAGAGAGAGGUAGGGGUAGAGGGAAUUCCCAGUGUAGCGGUGAAAUGCGUAGAUAUUGGGAAGAACAUCAGUGGCGAAAGCGCUCUACUGGACCUUAUCUGACAUUGAGGGACGAAAGCUAGGGGAGCGAAUGGG
rnacentral:rRNA from 1 species